AUUUCACCCUGAACUCCACCAUCUCUAGGUCUCCCAGGGCAGAGCAAGGGGACAGGCUGUAAAGUCUCCUGACUGUUUGGCAUGGGGAGAAAAAAAGACCUUGACAUCCAAAUUCUCUAUAUUCUGAAUUUCAGCCAGAAUUUAUUAAUUUAUUACUACUUAUCAUAGCACCUGUUAUCUCUAAGCCUCAGCCUUUCUAUAGUGUCUGACCAGUAAAGUAGCUUCUUUCUCCAUUGGUUACCCCACCCGCAUUCCUCAUUCCCUCGAAACCACUCAGGUUUUCACUUCCUCUGCUCUGCUUUCUCAGGAUUCUGAGCCAGGGGAGUUUCAGCCCUUCCUGGGAGACCUCUCAGAUCACAUGAGAAGCAGAGGCCGCAGGGCUGGAGGCAGAUUCCCUGGGCAGGCGGAUUCCCCGCACCCCUGCCUGAUCAGGUGAGGGCACUGGACCCAGAUUUGCACCAGUACACGAGUUUGCUUCCUAUCACAUCUGCCCUCUCUCAGGACGGGAAAGUCAUGGGCACAUCUUAAUCAAGUCCAGAAAGCGCCACACUGGAGGUUUCCAGUUCUCUGAUCACCCUCUUCACAGGUUGAGAGGCAGAUUCCAUGAGAUGAGUACCAAGUAGCCACUGGAGGAGGUGUGGCAGAGCUCUGGCCCAUCUCCAAUGCAGGCAAGCACAGCAAGGCUUGACAGAAACAUCGACAGGUACACAAGAGUAGGACACAGCAGCAAAACAUCAACAAGGCAGAGAGGCUGGGAAGGGAGGCACAGCGAAACAAGUUAGUCAGCAUAUUUGUCAGAUGGAUAAGGGAAGGGCUCUUAGGAAAGACAAAUGCAAGUAUUGAUGAUGUUAUUCCAGAAGAGACUGCAAAAAAGGCUUCCUCUCUGGUCCAAUUCAUCACCCCCAGUGACUAUCCCUGUAACCAUCAUCAUCCCAUCACCAUUAUCCCAUCAUCACCAUCAUCUUUAAUACAAAUAAACAAUGAAUGGGGCUUCCCUGGUGGCUUAGUGAUAAAGAACUCACCU
ensembl:lncRNA